ACUUGGUUAGCUCAGUUGGGAGGGCGCUCCACUGGAAAUGGAGAGGUCCCAGGUUUGAUACCCGGACCAGGCG
rfam:Ixodes scapularis strain Wikel colony gcontig_1108379469687, whole genome shotgun sequence.